CGAGGGGAGGCGCAAUGGGCACAGAGCUGCUGGCUCUCUAUAUUGAGCGUCUCAGAGGCGCCCUGACACCAUUCACUCCAGAGUCCUACACGUCCAAGGACCUGCGCGCAGACACGCUCUGAACAGCUCGACACGGACGCCUCUCUACAUUGUGAUUUCCUGAGGGCAUCUUUUGGAUUAUUUUUCAUUAAAGACUUUGAAAAAAAGAGAGAAAGAAAACAGUGUGCUUUCGCUUGUUCCUCAUAAAGAGGAGCUCUUUUAUAUGUUUGGCUUCUCUUUGCGUUGGGUCAAAGUGUGAAUCCCUUUUUUUUCCUCUUUUUUUUUUUUUUUUUUUUUGCUAAGGUGAAGGACAAGUGCAAUGUGCGCCAGACUUGUUUAUUGGAUUUGCCUCCCGUGCGCGUAAGGAAGGUAUAUUCUGUGCUGGAGCGCAUGGCUUGCUCAAGAGGACGCAGAGUAAUGUGAAUAAUAAGAAGACUUCUCAGCCUGAGAGUUUUAAGCAAGUACAAGCGACGCGUCUGGCUGAGCAGCUCUGACUCUACACGGUUUCCCUCCCUGAGGGGAUGGUUGUGGAUCCUCUGGAGCCAGGAGCGACUCAGGGGCUCCUACACGGCAGCUCAUUUUUCGUGUUUGACGGAGACUUUACAAUAAAAGGAGAUGAGAGCCACAAUUUGUUGCUUCCUGCUGUGGACGACCUACCUGCUGGCCACUGCUGAGGAAGCGGAGUUUCCCCAGGAGCUGAUCGAUCGACUCUCCAACAGUGAAAUCCACAGCAUCAGCGACCUCCAGCGGCUACUGGAGAUUGACUCCGUAGGUACGGGAAACGAUGUCAUCGAGGAGCACAAGCACCACAAACACCACAGCCACCAUAAGAACUCCUCCCAUCAUCAUGGUUACUACAAUGGACUGAAGAGCUCCCAGCUGCACAGCCGACGCAAGAGGAGCAUUGUCGAAGAGGCCAUCCCGGCAGCGUGCAAGACGCGGACGGUGAUCUAUGAGAUCCCCCGGAGCCAGGUGGAUCCCACGUCUGCCAACUUCCUGAUAUGGCCACCGUGUGUGGAGGUGAAGCGCUGCACAGGUUGCUGCAACACCAGCAACAUGCGCUGUCACCCCUCCCGUAAGCACCACCGCACCGUUAAGGUAGCCAAGGUGGAGUACGUGAGGAGGAGACCCAAGCUGAAGGAGGUCUUUGUGCGGUUAGAGGACCACCUGGAGUGUGUGUGCACAUCGCAACAUCAUGUGGUAGAACACUUAGAUGCAGAAACAGGCCAUCGUAGGGUUAAGGGUAAAAAAAGGAAACCUAAAAAGCUAAGACCCACCAAGGACUUAUUGGUGACAUAAUAAAGUUGCUCUUAUUGCCCAAAGUCCACUGGAAGGCUGUGACGGGACACAGCUUCGUCUCUCUGUCCACCAGCAGAUGUGAGGUGAGACCUCCCAGGUUAAAGGACUGCAGCACGGGAUGGACCUCAAGCAGAAGAGGACACGUCUUCUUGGUCCAUCUCUCCACCCACCAUGCAAACUUUGUUCGAGGAAAACAUGCCUUUUCCUAAAGUCAUGAGUCAUGAAAAACAGACAACAGACUGAAAUACGGAAUGCCAAAGGUGCUUUAAAAACAGUGUUGGUGAAGGCAACUGAACAGAGCCUCCGAUUACAAAGAAAAGAGAAGAUGCCAUGAAGCUCAGACUCAAAGAAGAUGGAAGGAAUUUGGGAUAAACAAUUCAAAAAGACAAGCCAAAUGGAAAAACUGUUGGAUCAAAAACUUUUGGGAAUCCAGUGCUAUGACUCAAAAAGAAAGUGCCCCUCUUUGUACAAAUAACUGUUGCAUUCACAGGAAAAACAAACAAACAAAAGGAAGAUAGGAAAAAGGAUGCAAAGAAAACCUGGAGGUGUGUUUUUUUUUGCAGGACUAUGAGAGGCAGCGAAUGUUGUGACUGAUGGACAAUUUGUUGUAAUUAAGGAUUGAAUCAGCCUCAGAGUCUUCCAGUUUUGAAUUUACCUUACCUGCUAUGUACAUAUAAAUCUAAAAAAAAACAGAGGAUGCGCCGCUGCUUACAAACUAUUUAUGCGUGUCGACAUUUGCUUUUGUCACUUUCGAUCUUCAAGAAAGGACAAAAAAAGUUUUUAUUAAUUUCUGCAGACAUGCAAGUGGUAUGUUUGGUCCAGUCCUUUGCUUUCACCAGUAUCACAAUCUCAGUGUCAUUUGUCUUUUUUAGCAGUUGUUUUUUUUCAUCGUCAACCAUGUUUCGUAUUAUAUUGCAGUAUAUCUGAUUGAUGUCAAGUCUUGCAUAUGGUUCGGAUGUAUGUGUGAAAGGAGGAGAUGUGAGCGUCAGUACAGGAAGAUGUUUUAUUUUUGUUAUGAAAUAUAUUAUGCAUACUUAUAUCCAA